rnacentral:rRNA from 1 species
AUUGAACGCUGGCGGCAGGCCUAACACAUGCGAGUCGAGCGGAUGAAGGGAGCUUGCUCCUGGAUUCAGCGGCGGACGGGUGAGUAAUGCCUAGGAAUCUGCCUGGUAGUGGGGGAUAACGUCCGGAAACGGGCGCUAAUACCGCAUACGUCCUGAGGGAGAAAGUGGGGGAUCUUCGGACCUCACGCUAUCAGAUGAGCCUAGGUCGGAUUAGCUAGUUGGUGGGGUAAAGGCCUACCAAGGCGACGAUCCGUAACUGGUCUGAGAGGAUGAUCAGUCACACUGGAAUUGAGACACGGUCCAGACUCCUACGGGAGGCAGCAGUGGGGAAUAUUGGACAAUGGGCGAAAGCCUGAUCCAGCCAUGCCGCGUGUGUGAAGAAGGUCUUCGGAUUGUAAAGCACUUUAAGUUGGGAGAAAGGGCAGUAAGUUAAUACCUUGCUGUGUUGACGUUACCAACAGAAUAAGCACCGGCUAACUUCGUG